rnacentral:rRNA from 1 species
AGUGAACGCUGGCGGUAGGCCUAACACAUGCAAGUCGAACGGCAGCACAGUAAGAGCUUGCUCUUACGGGUGGCGAGUGGCGGACGGGUGAGGAAUACAUCGGAAUCUACUUUUUCGUGGGGGAUAACGUAGGGAAACUUACUCUAAUACCGCAUACGACCUACGGGUGAAAGCAGGGGAUCUUCGGACCUUGCGCGAUUGAAUGAGCCGAUGUCGGAUUAGCUAGUUGGCGGGGUAAAGGCCCACCAAGGCGACGAUCCGUAGCUGGUCUGAGAGGAUGAUCAGCCACACUGGAACUGAGACACGGUCCAGACUCCUACGGGAGGCAGCAGUGGGGAAUAUUGGACAAUGGGCGCAAGCCUGAUCCAGCCAUACCGCGUGGGUGAAGAAGGCCUUCGGGUUGUAAAGACCUUUUGUUGGGAAAGAAAAGCAGCAGGUUAAUACCACGCUGUUCUGACGGUACCCAAAGAAUAAGCACCGGCUAACUUCGUG